rnacentral:rRNA from 1 species
GACAGAGGGUGCAAACGUUGUUCGGAAUUACUGGGCGUAAAGCGAGUGUAGGCGGUUUGGUAAGUCGGAUGUGAAAGCCCCGGGCUCAACCCGGGAAGUGCACUCGAUACUGCCAAGCUAGAGUAUCGGAGAGGUUGGUGGAAUUCUCGGUGUAGAGGUGAAAUUCGUAGAUAUCGAGAGGAACACCGGUGGCGAAGGCGGCCAAUUGGACGAAUACUGACGCUGAGACUCGAAAGCGUGGGGAGCGAACAGG